CCUGACAUCUGCAGAGAGUGAGGAAGGAUCGAAGAACCUGACAUCUGCAGAGAGUGAAGAAGGAUCUACAGAGAAGUGUGUUUCUGUCAGUAAGGAAUUAUUGCAUGACAGCAGACCAUAAACUGCAAGGUCCAGGGAAAGAAUGGGCCCAAACCUAAGAAGGGGAAAUUAUAGGCAGUAGUGCCUGAAGAAUACAUCUCAGAAGCGGGAAGUUCUGACUGUACUUCCUACAGUCCCAUCCUAUCCUGCACAGAUACCUGAACACUCUUCUCUCCAAGGAAGGCUUGGUGACUGCCCAGGGAAGAAGUGCUCCACAGAGGCUUCCACUAUUCUUGCACUUCUUCUAAAAUGGACUUCCACACACACACUGGAAACAAGCCAUACCUACGAGCAGUCACCUUCUGUAAUGGCAGUCAGUAGCUGAAAAUCACCAGCUGGGGCAGGGGAGCGAGGAAGCACCCGG